UCUUUUCAGUUUUCUGUUUAUUUAUUUACAUAUAAUAUUUAAAUUUAUGUUUUCUUUUUAGCCGCUGCAGCAGCUGGUGUGCCAACAAUUUACCCACCUUCAAUGCAAUAUCAACCAUUCUAUCAAUACUACAGUGUGCCAAUGAAUGUACCCACCAUUUGGCCCCAAAAUUAUCAAG